CACCGCGGCUAUACGAAUGGCUCAAAUUGAUAUUUCUCGGCGUAAAGCGUGGUUAGAGAAAAACUAAAUGACUAAAGAAGAACGGCUUCUCUGCUGUUGCAAGCAUUAGAUAGUCUGAAAAACAUUAACGAAAGUAACUUUAUAUUAUACUUGAACCCACGACCGUAAAGAAACAAACUGGGAUUUGAUACCCCACUAUGCUUAACUGUAAACAAAGAUAAUAUUUUACAAGUAUUAUCCGCCAGGGGAUUACGAGUUAAAACUUAAAACCCAAAGGACUUGGCGGUGCCCCAAACCCACCUAGAGGAGCCUGUUCUGUAACCGAUAACCCCCGUUCAACCUCACCAUUUCUAGUCAAAUUUAAUUCAACCUAUAUACCGCCGUCCCAGCUUGCCUAGUGAAAGAUGAAAAGCAGGCCAAAAGGGUUACCCCCUUAAAAUCAGGUCGAGGUGUAGUUAAUGAAAUGGUAUGAAAUGGGCUACAUUUUCUAAAAAGAAUAUUUACGAAAACACUAUGAAAUAACGAAAUGAAGGUGGAUUUAGCAGUAAAAAGAUAACAGAGAGCCCUUUUGAAGUAUGCCCUGGGGCGCGUACACACCGCCCGUCAUUCUCCUCAUGGCAAUUAAUAAAUUAAGUUUUUAACCAAACAACACAGCCAACAGAGGAGACAAGUCGUAA
rnacentral:rRNA from 1 species